rnacentral:rRNA from 1 species
UACAGAGGGUGCGAGCGUUAAUCGGAAUUACUGGGCGUAAAGCGCGCGUAGGCGGCUUUUCAAGUCGAUUGUGAAAUCCCCGGGCUUAACCUGGGAACUGCAGUCGAGACUGCCUAGCUAGAGUAUGGGAGAGGGAAGUGGAAUUUCAGGUGUAGCGGUGAAAUGCGUAGAUAUCGGGAGGAACACCAGUGGCGAAGGCGACUUCCUGGCCUGUUCUUGACGCUGAGGCGCGAAAGCUAGGGGAGCAAACGGG